rnacentral:lncRNA from 1 species
GCACAGACCUGGACCCCCAUGUCACGCCAUGGACUCCAUGACUACUAGCUUUAAUGGCUGGUCUCCGUGGCCCACUCCCAUUCUUACCAUGUACACCUUCCAGCUGUCCUGUGUCCACUGUACCCUUGAGAACGCUCUCUUGAAUUUCUCCAGAUCUUGGUUGUCUCCCUGGUAGGCUGCUGGAAGGGACCUUAUCUUUCUUUGUAUACACAGUGUUGGCUGCAUAGUAGGUGAGGAGAAAGGUUUGUGUGGUGAAAUACCCUCUUUUAUCUCAAACCUUUACUUCUUGGCCCCCCAACUUCCUUGUGUAUAAGCCUUGGUUCCCCCAGACUCUGUCUAGAUCCACAGAAUCAUUGAUUUUCCCCAAAAUGCGGUUUCCAUCUUGUCUUUUUAAAGCUCUCUUCUCUUCACAGGCUUCUGAACCAGGAUUCCCCUGGGCAUGUGUGGUCUGAAGUGGCCCCUUUUGGUAUGUGUGUGAGAGGGCAUGAGGAAGGGGAAGAGGGAAGCAGACAGCUUAGUGGUGGCAUGUGGAAAAUAAGUCAUUCUGUAAUAGAAUGCUUGAGAGAAGUGCUAGCCCAUUGCCGGGGGGAUGAGGGGAUGCAGAGAAGAGAAGCAACUGGAAAAGUCUUCUGGAAAGAUUGAGUAAAUGAAGGCUCAGAGGAGCUGAGGAAGUUGCCGCACACCACACAGCGUGUAAGUGCUCAAGUGUCCAUGUGGGCUCCUGCACAGUCCAGGACUCCUGCUGCAUGAAGCUGUCUUCAGAAGGCAGGGAGAAGUGAGGUGCAGAGUGGGUUAUGCUGUGAUGGAGCCUCACUCUGUGAAGCUACGGAAAGUAAGGACUCCUUUUGUGGCCCUAUGGGGUCCCAAUGGGUGCCUGAGGUGAUGAUCGGAUGUUCUUCUGAGCUCCUUCCCCCAGGGUGAGACUGCAGGGUUUGCAGAGGCAUGAGGGCCCUUUGGCUUUCAUCACAAGGGAAAGGCCAGAUCAGCACAAAUCCAUCACUCCUUCUGGAAAAACUAUUCCUAGGCCAUGCCUGACUCAGCCUGCAGAGCUCAGCAGGGCAGUUUGGCAACCUGGCCCCUGAAGUGCUGCCUUUCUUCUGCACAGUUUCGGCGAUAAGAAAAAAGGGAUUUCUUCACUGCUCCUUGUAAGAAUAAAUGGGUGGAGGGCGCUAUGGUGAAAUGGGGUACAACCCCACCCCACCCUGCAAGGCUUCCCGCCACAUCAAGACCUUGAGUUUCAAGAACUCUUCAGCAGCCACAGCCUGCAAGUUCAGGAAGGUGGGAUGCUCCCUAGGUUCCUGAGCGCCACACUUCAGUUCUUUGGUUCUUCAGAUACUUUUGUUUACCCCUUACAAUGAAUCAGCGGCUUUCCAAGAGUUUUACAACUAGGACUUGAUUUUAUCUCCACAAUAUCCCUCAGAAGUAGGUACUAAUAUCUCCAUUUUACAGAUAAAAAUCUGUGAUGUCCACUACCAUUGGUGCCCAUUUGAUGCCAUGGCCAUUGCCACUCAUUGCACACAGGCACUGUCCUGCAUGCUGGGGAGACAGCAGGGAGUACGGCCACAAGCCCGUUACAGCAGCAGUGAAUCUUUCAAAUGAGAUAAUGAGCAUGAAUGUGUUUGAUAGACCAUAAAGUGCCAAGUGCCUCUAGGAACAGACAUUCCAGCAGGAAUAAAGUCUCAGCACACUGCAAAAGUUGGGUAACACUGCCCCAUGUGGACCAGAAAGCUUUGGACACCUGUCACAUGUGACUGCUCUGCCACAACACUUCAACUGGGAGACUGGGUAUCUUAGCCUUCAAGGUCCUGGGGAUCAGAUAGACCACAACACUGAUGCCCAAUUUUAACCAACCACCACUCACAUAUUCCAGCUCCCUCCACAGGGCCUGACCUAGGACUGGCAGGGUGCUCAGCAGAGAAAGGCCAGGUCCUUGGUAGCCCCCUCAUCCUGGGGUGAGCAGAGGAGCCCCUCUCCAACCCCUGUCCUCUUGAUCCUGAAUGCUUGUUUGCCUGGACUUGUGCUCAAAAGUCUGAGAAGCACAAGAACAUGAAGAAAGUUGGAGGGUCUUCAUUAAUUAGCUCUUAAUUCGUUAAUUUUUAUUUUCAAUGAACUGUCAUCUCCUGCUCCUUCAAAUGCCUAAGUCAAGAAUCUUUCAUUGUAUUAUAUUAUUUGUUUAUUAAUAUACUGUUUGUUUUAUAUAUAUUAUUUGUUUAUUAAUAUACCCAUAGCAAAGGGUACAUAUGUUACAAGGCUUAUGAGAUAGAAAGAAAAUCAGAACUAAGGAAAGGAAGACAAGUCAGGUAUUAGAAUCAAAAGGACGAGGUUUUUGCUUAUGUUAAUUAGCUUCAUUUAGCCAUUCCACAAUGUAUGUAUACAUAUGUCAAAAUACCAUGUUGUAUUCUAUAAAUGUAUAGAUUUUUGUUAAUUAAAAAAUAAGAAAUAAAUAAAUUAAUACAGAAAAAGACCCCAAAACCCAAAGGACAAUUUUUUUUUGACAAUGAACAAAGUAUCUAAUUUGCUAUUAUAAAAGCUAUACAUGCUUACUUAGAAUAUUGGUAAAAUAUAGAAAACAUAAAUUUAUUUAAUUUCUUCUCUACUGGUGAUAAUUUAGAUUGUUGCCUUUCCCCCUGCUUUUAUAAAAUCAUUGCAAUAAGUGUCUUCGUACACCUAAGUUUGUAAACAUUGCCAACUGUUUUCUUUUGCUAAAUUCCUAGCAUGACAGUACACCUAUCACGUUUUAUGCACAUGUAAGACAUAGACUCAGACCACUUAGAAUUGGAUCCCAAGUCUGCCACCUGCUAGCUGAAUGGCCUUGAGGGGUUUCUUAGGACAAUGGUUUCUUCCAGUGAAUGUGGCUAACAGUACCUCCUUUAUUGAAUUGCUAUGAGGUGCGUGUGCCUUAAUACAUGGUAAGUACUUGGAUCAUCACCUGGCCCACAGUUAACUCAAAACUCUUAGCUAUUAUUGUUAUUAUUAUUUCUGUUAUUGUUGCCAACUUGUCCUGAAAGAGUGUCCCAAUUUAAACUCCCACAAGCAUUGUAUGUGUUGAUUUCCACACACCUUUGUCAACACUGGGUAUUAUCAUUCCUUUUAUUAUUUCAUUAUUUGCCAACCUGAUAAGCAAAAUUGUUGCUUUAAUUUUACUUCCUUGAUUACUAGUGAUGAUUUUUUUGAUGUCUUUAUUGGUAUUUAUUUACUCAUUUGUGAAUUUCCUGUUCUUGAUUUUUC